AAGGGAAAAGGAUUUUAGGAGAAGUAAGCUAAAGAAGUUAGAAAAAGUCUAGUAAAGGGUUUGAGAUUGUUAAAUAAAAAGAUUGGGUUAUUGUUAGCUAAUGAAAAAGGGUAAAAACCUUAAGC
rnacentral:sRNA from 1 species